AAAAAAAAAAAAAAAUUGCAUAUAUGUUCAAUGUAUAUGUUAUAUGAAGAUUCUUUGGUUUACUUAUGCAACUGGCACUCUUAACUAUCUCUUUACAGUAAAGUGAACUGCAUGCCUGUUAACAAAAAUGACUAUCAUGUGCCUAUUUUGCACAUUGUAUUGUUAUGUACAUCAAUAUAUCCUGAACCUAUAGUCACUUUUUAAGUCAUGUUUGAAGUAAUUAUAAUAUUGCACAUGCAAGAUUUUCUGAAGUAGGCCACUGGAUGAUUUUUAAAAUUACCUAAAUGUGAUUUAAGGAACCUUGACAGAAGAGUCUAUGAUCAGUGUUAAGGGUGUUUUGGUAAAGAGCCAGUAGAGGGAAUUCUAUAGCUGUAGAAUAUAGGGUUACCAUACACCAGAGAAAUCAUAGUUCUUCAAGAAUGAGGUCCCUUUCAGGAUGGAUGCUGAUAUAGGUCAAGAAAGGACUAUCUGGCAGGAAGUG
rnacentral:misc_RNA from 1 species